AUUGAACGCUGGCGGCAGGCCUAACACAUGCAAGUCGAACGGCAGCACAGAAGAGCUUGCUCUUUGGGUGGCGAGUGGCGGACGGGUGAGUAAUGUCUGGGAAACUGCCCGAUGGAGAGGGAUAACUACUGGAAACGGUAGCUAAUACCGCAUAACGUCGCAAGACCAAAGUGGGGGACCUUCGGGCCUCACACCAUCGGAUGUGCCCAGAUGGGAUUAGCUAGUGGGUGGGGUAAUGGCUCACCUAGGCGACGAUCCCUAGCUGGUCUGAGAGGAUGACCAGCCACACUGGAACUGAGACACGGUCCAGACUCCUACGGGAGGCAGCAGUGGGGAAUAUUGCACAAUGGGCGCAAGCCUGAUGCAGCCAUGCCGCGUGUAUGAAGAAGGCCUUCGGGUUGUAAAGUACUUUUAGCGGGGAGGAAGGCGGUGAGGUUAAUAACCUCGCCGAUUGACGUUACCCGCAGAAGAAGCACCGGCUAACUCCGUGCCAGCAGCAGCCGCAG
rnacentral:rRNA from 1 species